GUGUAGUUUAAGAACAUAAUAUAACAGUUAACAGUUAAUAUGUACAACACAUGGUGGGAUAGAUUUGGUUGUUUGAAGCAUUAAUAAUUUUUUGAGAAAUCUAUAAACUUAUCUUAAUGUUCUGUAAAUAUUUAAUCUUUUUUGUUGAUCAGGUGUAUAGUUAUGUCACAUUUAGAGUGGUCUACAGUAUUUAGCCGUGUAUCUUUUGAGCUUUUAAAAAAUGUAUAUAAUUUAUAUGAUCCAGGUGUCGGGAAGAGGAUUAUGUGGUGCAUCACACUGGACAGCAGCAAAAGAACUGGCCAAGAAAUCAAGCAGCAAACUGGAUGAGGAGGGAUUAGAGAUUGCUGUCUGUCGCCAUGGCGUUCUCCUUAUGGCCUUGAAUAUGUUUCGAGGGGAAAUUUUUGCUUACCCCCUUUUUCUGCAGAAAAAACUUGCAGACAUGUCACAGGGGAGCAUCAAAUUCUUCUGUUCAGAUGUAGCCUGCAAAUACUUCCCAUAUCUCCGGCGUAUUUCUAAGCACUUCCCCGAGCUGCAGUCUUUACUGGACAUGCAUCCUUUUCUGUCAGUGAUGCAUGCCAAAGCACACUCUUGGAAAUGUGAGGUACAUUACCAUGUGUUUUAAGUAUGUUAUUCUAAGAAAUAAUAUAAAAUAUACAUAAAAAAUUUGAGUGCAUUGUUUUUGUCGGAUUUGAAAACUUGUUAGGUCAAGUAUAGUGGGGCCUACCAGGAAGGAGCUGGGUCAACUAUUGGUGAGGAAGUGGAGCAGGUGAACAGCUUCCUAUCUAGAAUUGCUGUUACAAGCAAAUACAUGUCAAAAUCUGGUAUGUUGAAUAAGGUAUGAUUUUAUGCAGAAUGCCUUUUGUUAUAUACACAUGUCUCAUUACAUUUUCUACUAUUUCUGUUAUAGGCCGAGCAGACAUGAUUACAAUGCAAGCCAUGUUGUGGAAUAAGCAGAAGAUUCUCAAUUUGGGACAAGCUCUGGUUAACAGAUAUGUAAAGACUCAGAAGGCUCUGCAAAUGCAGCAACACAGCUUGGAAGAACUGAAGACAGAGCGUUCACUGCAUGAAGAUUGUGUUCAUCAGUGGGUUUCAGAUGUUCAACAAUGGGUAGAAGAAAGUGACCGACAUGGGAGUGGUGAUAUGAGAAGGCUUCAAGAGGAAAUAGAAGGUCUAACAGUCAGCAUCAAAAGGCGUACACAGCGUCUGUACAGUCAAACAGAUAGCAACAAGCGGCGCCAUUCUUUGCGCCUCAGAAGGAGUGAAGAGAAAAAGAAGCUAGUUGCUGCAGUGGAAGAGUACAACAGCAUAGCAGAUCCAUCCCAGAAGCUUGGCUCAGUUGAAGACUUCUUCACAGCUGAAACUGUUGCUUGGCCUUGGCAAAUCCCUAGCAGUACUGAAUCGGCUCCCUUUCUCACCAAGAGGAAGGUGUUUGACAAGGUGAUGGCAGUGAGACGCCUUCAGGAAGAGAGAGGUCUAAUUUGUAAGGAGAUGAAACAGCACUGGACGGUCAUGACACAGAUGAUGUCCAAAUUCGAAGCACUGAUUAUUGACUUAAGUUCAAAAUGUAAGAAAGUCUUUAAACAUUCUUUUUUUUUAGCAAUUGAUAUAUAGCAUUUUAUUUUUUGAUCAUGAAUUCUAUUGUUUUUCAACUCUUUUUCCAACCACGUCUUACCCUG
ensembl:lncRNA